UCAGCCACAGAUGUCCAGCCACAAUUCUCGGUUGGCCGCAGACUCGUACAAGAAUUGCGUUUGGACAAUCAGUGGCGAA
ncrna:Homo sapiens (human) microRNA hsa-mir-219b precursor